AUACUCUGGUUUCUCUUCAGAUCGUAUAAAUCUUUCGCCUUUUACUAAAGAUUUCCGUGGAGAGGAACAAGCACGAGUGUCGUGAAAUUUUUUGAGGCUCCGUUUCGGCGGAGCU
ensembl:snRNA U5 U5 spliceosomal RNA